rnacentral:tRNA from 1 species
GGUGGUGUGGCUCAAGUUGUAGAGCAUCUGCCUAGUACCAAUGAGAACCUAAGUUCAAACCCUUGUACCACCA